rnacentral:rRNA from 1 species
CACGUAGGGUGCGAGCGUUGUCCGGAAUUAUUGGGCGUAAAGAGCUCGUAGGCGGUGUGUCGCGUCGGCCGUGAAAACUUGCAGCUUAACUGUGGGCGUGCGGUCGAUACGGGCAUCACUGGAGUUCGGCAGGGGAGACUGGAAUUCCUGGUGUAGCGGUGAAAUGCGCAGAUAUCAGGAGGAACACCGGUGGCGAAGGCGGGUCUCUGGGCCGAUACUGACGCUGAGGAGCGAAAGCGUGGGGAGCGAGCAGG